CUGCUGUGCUAGCAAUCAGUGAGACUCCCUGGGCAUAGGACCCUCCGAGCCAGGUGGGGGUUAUAAUCUCGUGGUGCGCCGUUUUUUAAGCCCGUCGGAAAAGCGCAGUAUUCCGGUUGGAGUGACCCGAUUUCCAGUGAGAUGAACCCGGUACCUCAGAUGGAAAUGCAGAAAUCACCCGUCUUCUGCGUCGCUCAAGCUGGGAGCUGUAGACCGGAGCUGUUCCUACUCGGCCAUCUUGGCUCCUCCCCGCCAAGAAUAUGACUGCAUUUGGAAAUAGGGACUUUAAAGAGGUGAUUAAGUUACAAUGAGGCCACUAGAGAAGACAAUUAUCCAUUUGGACUGAUGUGCUUAGAAGAAGAGCAUAUUGGUAAAAAGAGACACCAGAGGUACAACAGCACAGAGAAAGACCAUGUGAGGACAUAGUGAGAAGAUGGCCAUCCCAUCUGCAAGCCAAGGACAGAGGCCUCAGGAGAAACCAACCCUGAUGACACCUUGAUCUUGGACUUCACAGCCUCCAGAACUAACAUACUCAAGUGUCUCAGCUCAACAUUUGGAGAUGAGCCAUCCUCCUCUUAUUGUAAGAAAAGCUUGAAGGAGUAUUUUCACAGCGAUGGAACUGGAAGUUAAGGCAACUUCUAUCAGCAUCAAGAAAAGAAAAGAAGUAUUCACCACUUACGAAACAACAUCUCUCUUCUCAUCAAUAGUUUGAUUUACAGCAUCUACUGCAGAAGACCUCAAUAAUGCAUAAGAACAUCUGGAAGUACGGUAAUUUCAGCUAUCAGAGAUAAGAAUUGACACAGAACAGAACUGAAAGAGAACCUUUGAAACACCCUUUAGAUUAAGAGCCUGGCUUGUAAUCUGUAACAACAAACGGUAUUACAAUGAGGGGCUUCCUGCUUUGCUUGACACCCAUCCUCUCUCCUGCUUCCCUGUGAAGAGGUGCCUUCUGCCAUGAUUGCUGAGGCCUUCCCAUCCAUGUGGAACUGUGAGUCAAUUAAACCUUUUUCCUUAUAAAUUACCCAGUCUCAAGUGUUUCUUCAUAGCAAUGUGAAAACAAACUAAUAUAACUACUACAAAUAUAAGAUUUAGUAAAAAUAGUAGAUAGCAACA
rnacentral:lncRNA from 10 species